rnacentral:rRNA from 1 species
GUGUCAGCCGCCGCGGUAACACCCGCAGCACGAGUAGUGGUCACUUUUAUUGAGCCUAAAGCGUUCGUAGCCGGUUUUGUGAAUCUUCAGAUAAGGCCUGAAGCUUAACUCCAGAAAGUCUGAAGAGACUGCAAGACUUGAGAUCGGUCGAGGUUAAACGUACUUUCAGGGUAGGGGUAAAAUCCUGUAAUCCCGGAAGGACGACCAGUGGCGAAAGCGUUUAACUAGAACGAAUCUGACGGUAAGGAACGAAGGCUAGGGUAGCAAACCGGAUUAGAAACCCCCGUAGUCC